GGAAGUAAAGUCGUAACAAGGUCUCCGUUGGUGAACCAGCGGAGGGAUCAUUA
rnacentral:rRNA from 1 species